UCCAAGUCAAUUGCUGCAAUUUGUCCCUAAGGACCAUCUUACCAAACUUGGGGUUCGUACAGGAUCAUGACUGAUCAAAAAGGGAGGACUAGUUGAGAUGGGAACACGAACUUCGCACUCAACGACUAUCAUUUCUGAUCUACUCAUUCAAGUGAGUGGAUCAUGCGGGGUUUUUUUUUUUUGCACGUGAAGGACGCCGAUCAUUAAACGAGGACAGCCGCUACAAUGAAGAGCUGGGCGACGAGGAAGGUUUUACCCUUGGUAUCCCUUGGUAUCCACCAUGGGACAAAGUCCAAGGAAUCUGAGCUGGAGACCAACACAGGAGCUCCUAUCCAGAAAAGAAGGCUGGGAGUAUUACUCAACUGACUCCAUGUUAUAGUCAUCUAUGUCGCCGUUGCUUACAGAUGAAAAUGUUGAAAUGUCCGUUGUUCAUUUGUUUCAUAUACGAUGUAAAAAUAAAGACACGUUUUGCAUGUAAGGUCAGUCCUACACACAUACACACAGCCCUCAGUGUGUGGUUUUAGUUGUGAUCAGUUGAAGACCACUCCUAGCCUUUUUUCGGGAUUAUAAGUUCCUCACGGAUGGAGUGACCUGUUUGUGCACCACACUUUAAGAGCUCCUAUGUUUAAAGAUGCACUCAUAGAAAUAAAAUAAAUAUUGUUUUUAAAACAAUUCUGUGUUCCAUA